rnacentral:rRNA from 1 species
UACGAAGGGGGCUAGCGUUGCUCGGAAUCACUGGGCGUAAAGGGCGCGUAGGCGGAUUGUUAAGUCGGGGGUGAAAUCCUGGAGCUCAACUCCAGAACUGCCUUCGAUACUGGCGAUCUCGAGUCCGGGAGAGGUGAGUGGAACUGCGAGUGUAGAGGUGAAAUUCGUAGAUAUUCGCAAGAACACCAGUGGCGAAGGCGGCUCACUGGCCCGGUACUGACGCUGAGGUGCGAAAGCGUGGGGAGCAAACAGG